rnacentral:lncRNA from 1 species
AAUUGACACCCACCGAGUAUAGCUAGAUGACCAUGACAUGCACGCCGAAGAGAGCUUUUCGGACUGGGGUCAUAAUAGCGAUUCUGAUAACCGUAGUCAAAGUUAUGACAAAAUUACCAAAAACGUGUCAAAAUUACCCCAAUUAAGGAAGGAUUGCAUUUAUUUUCCAUCUUUGCGACUAUCCGCCAUCUCAUGGUAUCUCAACACCAUCAACGAGUUAUCUGACAGAUCAACGUCACUCGACUCGAAUCCUCCUGCAUCAUUAUUGGAGCGAC